rnacentral:tRNA from 1 species
CCAUCGGUGUUCAGUGGUAGAAUGCUCGCCUGCCACGCGGGCGGCCCAGGUUCGAUUCCCGACCGAUGCA